UUACGACCACAUCACGUUGAAACACCGAUUCCCGUACGAUCACCGAAGUUAAGCAACGUUGAGCUUGGUCUGUACAUAGAUAGGUGACCGCUUCGGAAUACCAUAUGCUGUAAG